GCAGAGAAGAAAGAAGAGUGUUCGUUGAAGAAGGCGAUGCUAUCUAAGUUUUCGAAUUGGUAGCAAUACAUCAAUUAAUUUCAGGACGCCCAGGGCCCUCCUCAGGAGCCUGUUUUGAAAGCAAUUUCAAGUUUCUACCUUAUCCUUAUGCUAGGCUUCGGAAAUGUAAGCAAUGAAUCAAUUAAUUUCAGUGCAUCCAUCUAACUUCCGGUGGUUCUUGUGUUUAUGAUCCUUGAGCUUGUUUCAGCUGGGAAGGCCGAAGAGGAACAGGAAACGAAGUUCAGACUAGACUAUGCAACCUUCGAAGAAUGCAGAGUAUCCUCAUGAGAUCGCUUGAAAUGCUCAUGGCUAUUGAUUAGUUCAUCCAGUUAAAUGUUUGGUCUACUCCGCAUACGCUCAUGCAAGUAUAGCUUCUUGGAAAGGCAGCUCAAAUGUCGAUUUAAUGAAGUCAGUAAAGGGGCCAAUGAGAUGAUGAAAAAGAAGAAAGUUUAAAUUCCUAUGGAGUCUAUGGUUGAAAGAUUUAGUGAAGUCAGUGAAGGGCCAAUGAAAAGAUGAAAAAGAAGGAAGUUUCAACUCCUAUGGAGUAUGGUUAUUGCAUAUUUAGUGAAGUCAGUGAAUGGGUCAAAGAGAAGAUGAAAAAGAAGGAAGUUUUAACUUCUAUGGAGUCCGUGGUUGACAGGUAGUUAUAGCUCGUGCUUUACUUAUUUUUCAGUUAAAUGAAGUCAGGAAAU